AAUCGGUUUGCGCAUCCUUCCUAACCCUCGAUACGAAGAUCAUGACGCCAUUUGAAUACAGGUGGACAAAGUGGUCAAAAUAGUCAACUAAAACUUCCCUCGAGAAAGUUAUAUAGCCAAUGAGUGCACUUUAUUUUGUAUGAGCUUCCCUCUCCUUCUUUAACAAUUUUUACUUGUACCUCUUGCUUUCUUCAUCAUUGCACUUUUCCAGAUGUCCUCCACCACCACCACUAUGAGUCCACCAUACCAAAUAACAGAAUCCUUAGGACCCUUCUUCCCCAAAACACGAGAGAAACAAACUCAGAAAGAGAGCAUUGGAGAUCUGGAGGCUUUCUUCGAUGCUACUGCAACAACACAAGUUGUUUUUCCAUCCUUUGUGGGGAAGAAAGGUAUCUCUGGCACAUGGAAGAAAUGGAGAGAGCUGAAGAAGCUGCAAUGAUGCGAGUCACGUAGGGGCUGGGUAUGGCAGUAGAGUUGAUCCUGUACUGUAUUCAGAACUGGCUGGAGACUCCUCAUAUAAACCAGGUUGCCUACAGCAUUUUAACCAUAAAUUAGACACUGUAUGAUGAGUAAUCAUGCUUAAUCCCAAAUAUUAAAACCCCUGUUUCUAUUACCUCCAAGAUGGUCGACUUCCAUCAUUACUACUCCUUAGAUCCUCUAUCAGGUCUUUAAAAUCAUCAAGUUUAAAAUCAAUGUCACAGAUUUUUUGUCCAUGUACAUUUUCUUUGCUCCGAUUCAGGAAAUCUUGGAGAACCUGAAUGUCAUGUUUUAUAAACAUAUGAGGACAGAAGCAAAAUCUGUGUGCAUAAUAAGAGUCAAGGAGGAAUAUACUUGGGGGUACUGUUGUACUGAGUCUGUGAGAUCAACGUAAUCAGUUCAACUUUCCACGUUACAGCAUAUACAUGGUGAAACAUGGAAGUUGAUUGAUCUUGGGUAAAAACCAGUUUGACAUUAUAAUUAUGCUAAUCUCUAUAGCGCUGAAGGUCAAAUUGAUAAACUGCACCUACACAAGUGGUCGUGUGCAUCAGAUACUUAGAUGUUGACAACAAAAGCUCACCUUCCAAGAAUUUUCCAGACUCUGGUCUGUAUUUUCUUCACUAACUUUCAGUGCAAGUGAGCUGAGAAGCUCUGCUUGUUGCAUUAGAGCAGUUAUCUUUGGAUCAUCCUUUUUGAGAAAUGUUCUCUGAAUCAUACUGUUUUGAACUGCUAAAUGAAUAGCAAGGAAAAAGAUUAUUGAACAUUAAAGAUUUAUCACAGAGAAUGAUCAACAAUCAUCACCAACUAAAUUGAUAGAGAUGAUAGAUUAUGCAUGUUAUUGAUUGUCUGUCAUAAAGCCCCUGUAGCGUUCCUCAGUUUUUGUAAAGCUGGAAAAAAAACUAAUGAUUUGAAAGCUGAAUUGUGGUAGUUUGAAUGGGGCUUGAGCUAGACCUUACAUGGCCAAAGGGGUAUAAGAAUGUGGAAGUGGAAGUGGAAGUUGAUUCAGAGGUAGCAUUCAAUGUAUUAAACUAAAAAGGUAGCAGUUUGGCGACUGAUCCUCUUGUUCAGGAAUUUUUUCAACUUCAGCAAAGGGAUUGGAGCAUCAGGAUUAGUCAUGCAUAUAAAGAAGGAAAUCGGUAGGUGGAUUGGCAUGCUAAUGGAGGCUUAGAUAUUGAUAUUGGGAUUCGAUAUUUGUCUCAAUCCCUGGGUCUUCUUUCCUUGCUUCAGCAGGAUGAAGCAGGGUAUCUCUACCCUGCUUAUGCAGGGUGUGUUUUACCAUCAAUGGAGACCUCCUUGACACCGCUGACAUGAUGUUGGGAAGCCACGUUAACAUUGUGAAGGUUUUGGGCCAACACUGCAAAUGGAGGUCUAGGUUGCUGAUUUCCAUAUUGUGGGUGUGAUCUGUCUCCAAAGUUGCAAUUUCCUGCAAGACCAGGGAUGUGGGACUUCCUGCAUUUGAACAAACAUGAGGUUUACUAUGCUAAUUACUUUUCCAGAUACUAUUGUCUACUGAUACCAAAACUGCACUGUACCUUAUCUUCUUAAUUGGAGGAUCACUUUCUGGUGCUCCGUCUCCGUUUAACCCAUGAUGUAACAUGAUUCUUUUGUUAUUUAAGUUGAUAUGUGUGCUUCUGUUCUCUUUUGCUAAA